rnacentral:sRNA from 15 species
GAAAGACGCGCAUUUGUUAUCAUCAUCCCUGACUUCAGAGAUGAAAUGUUUGGCCACAGUGAUGUGGCCUUUU